rnacentral:rRNA from 1 species
GACGAACGCUGGCGGCGUGCUUAACACAUGCAAGUCGAACGGAAAGGCCUCAGAUUGCUGGGGUACUCGAGUGGCGAACGGGUGAGUAACACGUGGGUGAUCUGCCUUGCACUCUGGGAUAAGCUUGGGAAACUGGGUCUAAUACCGGAUAUGAACUGCCUUUAGUGUGGUGGUUGGAAAGUUUUUUCGGUGCAAGAUGAGCUCGCGGCCUAUCAGCUUGUUGGUGGGGUAAUGGCCUACCAAGGCGUCGACGGGUAGCCGGCCUGAGAGGGUGUACGGCCACAUUGGGACUGAGAUACGGCCCAGACUCCUACGGGAGGCAGCAGUGGGGAAUAUUGCACAAUGGGCGGAAGCCUGAUGCAGCGACGCCGCGUGGGGGAUGACGGCCUUCGGGUUGUAAACUCCUUUCGACAGGGACGAAGCUUUUUGUGACGGUACCUGUAUAAGAAGCACCGGCUAACUACGUG